CAAGAGAGGAAGGAGGAGAGAGGGCCGGUGAGAAUUGAAUUGUGCCUGGCAUUGUGCAGCUGUGGUGCUGUCUUCAUCACUCCCUCCGUUUCCAGUCCUGCUAAUUAAAAGAAAUGCUCUGCUGAAAGACGCUGCUGGCCACCAACGUGCACAAUCUAUGCAGCUGACUUCAGACUUAAAAACAGCCAGUCUGAUCCCCACUCAGGGCAAAGUUUUCAACAUAUUUUGUCGACUGCUUUCAGUUUCUUGUUUUUCUCUUGUAUGUUUAACAAUGAGUGCAGGUAGCAAGGAGACUAUGUAAGCAGUUUCUCGGGCAUAAUUCAUGAAGAUUCAUACUUCGUGUUUUUGUUUUUGUUUUAAUUAACUCUCUUGAAAUGGUUGAAAAUGACUUUAAAUUUUACCAACUUUAAUACAGACCAGGAUUCCUAUUUAUACUUUCUUCUCCAAUGGCAUAUGCUAGUUAGGGCUUCUAAAGCUGUUACGCAACAAAUGUGCAUUCAAUCUGCUGAUCCAUUUUGUCUGUAUUCCUCAAUUCAUGCACAUCUAGAAGGUUAUGUAUUCUUGAUUCCUGAAUCUGCAGACACACAAACUCUUCUAUAUAACAAUGGUCCUUGAUUCUACUAUUACUUCAAAGUGAGCUUGGGGAAGUCACUCUACUAGUAUUUCUCAGAACCUCUCUGUAACCCCCACUAAC